CGAUUCCUGCGACGUUGGUGACUGCCAAUAUUGUUUUUUGAUCUAUACCUUUAACGCUAGGGAGCCAUUUGCUCGAUAGCAGUAGACCAAGCUUGUACUUGGAAACUUUAAAUCGAUGUUUUCAACUCCCACCUGGAUGAUUCCAGGUCAAAAACUGAGGUAAGACGGCGUUGCGGGAAAAGC
rfam:Acaryochloris marina MBIC11017, complete genome.